GGCUUUGUAGUGUAGUGGUUAUCACAGCGGAUUCUGACCAUUUGGACAAUUCCGCUAACUCAGGUUCGAGUCCUGACAAGGCCU